rnacentral:rRNA from 1 species
AGAGUUUGAUUAUGGCUCAGAUUGAACGCUGGCGGCAGGCCUAACACAUGCAAGUCGAACGGUAACAGGAAGCAGCUUGCUGCUUCGCUGACGAGUGGCGGACGGGUGAGUAAUGUCUGGGAAACUGCCUGAUGGAGGGGGAUAACUACUGGAAACGGUAGCUAAUACCGCAUAACGUCGCAAGACCAAAGAGGGGGACCUUAGGGCCUCUUGCCAUCGGAUGUGCCCAGAUGGGAUUAGCUAGUAGGUGGGGUAACGGCUCACCUAGGCGACGAUCCCUAGCUGGUCUGAGAGGAUGACCAGCCACACUGGAACUGAGACACGGUCCAGACUCCUACGGGAGGCAGCAGUGGGGAAUAUUGCACAAUGGGCGCAAGCCUGAUGCAGCCAUGCCGCGUGUAUGAAGAAGGCCUUCGGGUUGUAAAGUACUUUCAGCGGGGAGGAAGGGAGUAAAGUUAAUACCUUUGCUCAUUGACGUUACCCGCAGAAGAAGCACCGGCUAACUCCGUGCCAGCAGCCGCGGUAAU